GGAGGGAGAGCUGCUGGAUACAGAACAGAAAGUUGCUUGUAGUUCCCUUCUGGGACUGUAAGGGCAGGCACAGGUUAGGGAGUGGCUUUGUGAUCUGCAGAGGUCUCUCUCUCGUGGUUCCACAUUAUUGCAGUGGAACUGAGAAGCCAGCACAGCUUUGGAUAUGUGGGAAUGCCAAACACUGCAACACAGGCAAGUCUAAAUCCUUUGCUGAAGACAAAAAAUAAUCCCUGUGACCAAAGACAGGGGCUCAGAACAUGAGGUAACAGCUUGCCAUCCUUUAAUAAACAUAAUGAAAGACAUUGCAGCAUCUUUACUGGAUUGCAAAAGGGAAACAGGAUAAGGACUGGGGGAAUGUCACUUGGGUUUUCCUAGCAGCUAAAUGCUGUGUUACUUUCAAGUUCAUAGAAUGGUUUAGCAAAACUGCAAAAAUACAUUAUUUGAUACAGCAAGCAGACCAUUUGAGGCUUGUUUCAGAUAUUUGCUUCCAGACAAGGAUUAUACCACCUCUACUUGCCCCUGCCAGUAAAAAUGGCAGUGUCGAAAGGGUAAGUUAAACUUGCAGUGAAACUACUUAUGGGGAAUUACAGAAUUAUAUUUAAAAUCAGGUGAACUCAAAUGUUGUUUUAGUCCCUUCUGAUCUUGCAGAAAAGUAAAUAGUGGCUUUUGAGACAUGUGUGCAUUUCUGAGAGUCCAAGCCACCUUAGAGUUCAAACAAAAAUAUAUGCAAUAACUGGGGCAUGUUAAAAGCCAUGACUUCAUUUCUUAGAACUUUAACAGCUGUAUAGCUCAAAGACAAAUAAUUCAUCCCUGGCUGUUCCCUGUAAUAACACAGACAUGCAGAAAAUGCCUGGCAUUUUUUUGUUCACUACUUGGGAUCAAAUUCAUCUGAUUUUGUUUCCUUCUGGACUAAGAACAGACUAUUCUUUAUGUUGCAGCCCUAAGGAGACAUUUUGCAUCUCGCUGCAGCUUUGUUUCUACACAUUAGGAAAUUGUCCCUGGAAAAUUGUCUUGUGUUAGCACUACUUGUCCAGUCUCGUGUCCAGCCCCUUCCAUCAACAAAACUUCCAUGGUCAGAAAUCUUGAACUGCUAAGCACAGCAUUUCAAAGGGCAGAAAUUCUGAAAUCCAAAGGAAAUGAGAGUCUGUUCUGAGAGCCAAAGGAAGAAGUGUUUUGUUUAAGCAUAAGAGACUGAGCCAGAUAUGGCUCCUCUGCACACAAACAGCAAGAAGGUAAUUGCAGGUAAACAGGAUUAAAGAGGACAUCCCAACCCAGUUCCAUCCUACUUAGGCAACUCUCCUGGAAGCAUUUCUGUAGCACAUCAGAUGUCUACCAGUGGCCAGAAAGAAGCACUCCAAAAUUUACAUCAUCUUGCUGUCUGCCAGAUCGUGCUUACUGUUGCCACUUGCCUCUUGAACAGCCAAACCUCACUCUUAAGUGACUGAUGGUAGCCACCAAAUGAAAAAAUGGGGAGCUGGGAAGGAGGCAUCUGAAAAAACAGCUACUUGGAUUGCACAAAAAUUCUCUGCCUGACCUUGGAAAUCUGUCAGUGAAGGUUUUCUCAAUGCCUGUGCUGUGUUUGAGAAGCUUGGAAAGUUCAGUUUAAAGCAGCCUCUGUUUAUCUGCAUCUGAAGCAGAGUGGUGAUAGAAGGAAGGAAAAGUGUUUGGCAAAUGGAACAAAACCCCCUGAACUCCGAGUGGCUACGUACAGCAGGACUAAUCUAUUCUUGAAUGCACAUCUUUAGCCAAAAGCAUCCAGGCAGUUUUGAGAUCUGGAAUUUCACUGAUCUUUUCUAAAUAAUCAGACAAGACCUGGGUGUCAGAAUUUAUCUCCCUGUCCUUGGCAAUGAUGGAGCAAAGCACGUGCUGUGAUGGAUCAGAAAUGUCUACAUGCAAGUGCUGUCUCUGUAAAGGAUGCAGAGCAUCUCUAGUCACAGUUACCUGCAGAGGAAUCAAUUACAAUGGAGAGAACUCUGAAGAGUUGUAGAAGCACUGAGAAGAGAGGGUCUUCUUCAAGAAACUUUUGCAAACACCAAUACACCUAACUCAUAGUCAAAAGAACUGAUGUGAGCAUGCAGUCAGGAGGAAAACAAAAAUUAAAUCACCAUCAGCCAGUUCAGCCCCAUGCAUACAGGUCAUCUUGCUAAAAACAAAGCUUACUAACUGGACGUUUUCAUGUAAGUAGAACCUCAAGAUUUUUUUCUUUCUGUGGAGUUGAUACCAUCCUUCAGGUAUUUGUUUUUAAACUUUGAGUUCCUUUCCUUCUGCCUGUAUCUCAUACUUUCUCCUGUAUCCUAGAGGCUCCCAUGUCAUGGCUAACAUUCUUUGAGAAAACUCCAACAGGAGCUGCACAGGCAUUCUUUUAAGAGCCUAUCAGCACCACUCCCAAAUUAGCCAGACAGUUGUUUGUUUAAUUUCGCAAGACAUUUUCUUUCCCCAAAGUGAGAAGAGCUACCUCAGUGAUUUCCCAGCCAUGUUUUUAAGGCAUCUUCUGUGGCAGAGGAAUAUGUUCUCCUAAACUAGGGUUAAAACAUUCUGAUACAUUUAACAAAGCAGUCAGGUUGUUGAACAAUAGGUAACUAGGUAUCUUCUAAAUACUCACUAUACUUAUCUCAGAAAGGCCCUAAUCUGUUCUAAUUUACUAUAAUGUAAAAUCAAGUGUAAGUGCAAAGAGACAAACUACACUUUAGAGUUAGUUGUGACUAAAUCUGUAGAGUUUUUAAAUAUUUUUGUGUUUUAAAACAUUCUGUGGAAGUGCAAUGUUUUGCUCAAUAAUUUUUACUGCUAUUGUUGUACUAGUUUAGUUGUUAAACCAAUGCAGUGAGAAAGGACUGCAGUGAGAAAUCAUCUUUUCUUUAAGUAGGCAUAAGGAAAGCUUCAAUUUUGACAGUGGACUUCUGCUCCCUAAGAGCAGUACACAUGAAUCCCCAUGCCAAGCAGCAAACCUCUAAAUAUUGUAUAGUUCCUAGGUUAAUUGAGAUUAUGGCCUUUCUGAAGACUUGGGGACUGCAGCUGUUGGUCUGGACUUUGCUAUCUUGUAGAGCUGAAGCUUUGUGGUGCAGCUUGUUUAAGCUCCCCAAGGCCUGCUUUACAAAUCCAGCUCUUAACUGCCCUGGUAAUACUGGGGCCAGAAGUGGUAGGACAUUCCCUCCUCCUGCAAAGUAACAUCAGCUCAGCUGAUCCAGUGACAGCACCAGGGAGGAAUUUUCUGCUACAAGUACUGAGUGUAGACAAAGGCUGCCUAAUUUUCUUUGUGCAACCCACAUCCUGUGGGACUCAUGCACAUCCCUGUACUUUCUAUGCUGUACAAGGGAGCGUGCGUCCUGAGGACAACGUGUUGUGUCUUGCUCACUCUGCUGAUGAGACUGUGAGAGACGUGUCAGAAGUGAAUUUAAAUAGGUCUUCACUUAAUUAUAUGUAAUUUUGUUAAUUGUCUAUCUGCUGCUGUCCCUCGCUGGCAUUACGAAAGGGUGCAAGUCACCUCUGCAGCUAAGAUUCCCUGCCCCAGCUUUUGCUGGGCUCCAUCCCUGGCAGCUCUGGAUACCCCGGCAGGGCAUGGCUGUUCCCGCUGAGGGUGGCAGUAGCUCCCGUCCCCCUUUUCUGCUCACUCCCUGCGCCCUUGAGCGUGCAGUACCGAGGCAGGGCCAGGAGCCCCGGCCAGGUACAGCGGAGCACUUCGGAAGCUCCGGCAGCCGCUGGCACCUCUGCCCUGCCCCGGCACUGCUCUGGGAGUCAGGGUCGUCCCUCAGCCCCUUCCCCUCGCUGUGGGUCCCAGCCCUGCCCGGGUCCCGCCGCAAACUCUGGGCUUCGUGCCCGGCGCAGCGCCCCUCGCCCGCCUUUGCUGCAGCCUGGCUGCUGAGCAGAGGUGCCCCCUCCUCCUCCUCUCCUCCUCCGGCUGCCGGGGGAA